rnacentral:rRNA from 1 species
AGUGAACGCUGGCGGUAGGCCUAACACAUGCAAGUCGAACGGCAGCACAGUAAGAGCUUGCUCUUACGGGUGGCGAGUGGCGGACGGGUGAGGAAUACAUCGGAAUCUACUUUUUCGUGGGGGAUAACGUAGGGAAACUUACGCUAAUACCGCAUACGACCUACGGGUGAAAGCAGGGGAUCUUCGGACCUUGCGCGAUUGAAUUAGCCGAUGUCGGAUUAGCUAGUUGGCGGGGUAAAGGCCCACCAAGGCGACGAUCCGUAGCUGGUCUGAGAGGAUGAUCAGCCACACUGGAACUGAGACACGGUCCAGACUCCUACGGGAGGCAGCAGUGGGGAAUAUUGGACAAAGGGCGCAAGCCUGAUCCAGCCAUACCGCGUGGGUGAAGAAGGCCUUCGGGUUGUAAAGCCCUUUUGUUGGGAAAGAAAAGCAGCAGGUUAAUACCCCGCUGUUCUGACGGUACCCAAAGAGUAAGCACCGGCUAACUUCGUG